AUUGAACGCUGGCGGAAUGCUUUACACAUGCAAGUCGAACGGCAGCACGGGGCAACCUGGUGGCGAGUGGCGAACGGGUGAGUAAUACAUCGGAACGUGCCCAAUCGUGGGGGAUAACGUAGCGAAAGUUACGCUAAUACCGCAUACGAUCUACGGAUGAAGGCGGGGGGUCGCAAGACCUCGCGCGAAUGGAGCGGCCGAUGUCAGAUUAGGUAGUUGGUGGGGUAAAGGCUCACCAAGCCGACGAUCUGUAGCUGGUCUGAGAGGACGACCGGCCACACUGGGACUGAGACACGGCCCAGACUCCUACGGGAGGCAGCAGUGGGGAAUUUUGGAUAAUGGGCGCAAGCCUGAUCCAGCCAUUCCGCGUGCAGGAUGAAGGCCUUCGGGUUGUAAACUGCUUUUGUACGGAACGAAACGGUGAGCUCUAAUACAGUUUGCUAAUGACGGUACCGUAAGAAUAAGCACCGGCUAACUACGUGCCAGCCGCCGCCGUAACAC
rnacentral:rRNA from 1 species